rnacentral:lncRNA from 1 species
AUGGAUAGGUUAGAUUAGAUUGUUCUGAUAAAAAAAAUCAAUAAGCGGUUCAGAUGGGAGCUUUACAAAUGCUAAACAAUUCACUCCAGUCAUGAACUGAGAAACAUCCUGAUUCACUUCUGUAUCUGCAUUAUUUUUUGUAGUGGUCAGAAUUGCUCUGGCUUUCAGAUAACAUCCCAACCUGCACUGCUAUGGAACUCCAGGGAACCAAAUCCUAGACGUAAAAACAAAACUUUAUCUGAUGUGUACCAGAUAACACAGGCCAGAUUUGUAGUUUUUUUUCACAAGCAGGAGGGAAAGGAGUCAUUUGUGAGCCAGAGCCAUUGAAGGAGAGGGAACAUGAGAGAACUGGAGCAGAAGUCAUGCAAGGAAGCUAGAGCUCUGGGAAGUUCAGCCUCCUUGACCCAGGCAGGCCAACUGCUGAACCCAUGGAUCAAUGGGGCUCAACGUGGGUGCAGCUUUCAGCCCAUGCACAAGGAAUUGCAGGAGUGGAGCAUUACACCAGUGCAACGUGAGUGUAAAAUUCUCCCCUGCUGAUCAGGUAGCGUUUCUAUCUGCAGUGCAUUAUCAAUAGGGAGAUCCAAAUCUGGAGCUUGCGAUCUAAAAACCUGCUAUUACUGAUCCAGCCCUGCGAGCCCAAAAGCUGUGGCAGAUUCACAUCAUAAACCUCUCUAUGGUCCCCAGCCACUAGAAGGGGACAGACAGCCACAUUGUAAGGCUGCGUCUACACUAUUUGCUGGGGUGUGAUUUUCCCUGCUCAUGCACACAUACUUGCAUUAGCUCUCAUCACGGAUCGCAGCAGCAGAGGCAGGUCUGAACCUUUCUGAGCCGUGCCAAGUACAAACCCACCUGAACCCAUUAGGUGUGUACACAGCACAGCUCAGCUAUGCCUCCUCUGCCACUACUUGUGCUACUACAGCAGCACUGCUGUUUACACUCAUGCUAACACGAUGAGACCUAGUGUGAGUAUGUGCACACGAGCAGAGCUCUUAGAAUACACAGCCUAAUUGUGAGUCACGCACUCACUUUGCACUGGUGUAACUGACUGCCUGUGAAGUGGCAGUGGUGCAGUUGGCACUUUUCAUUAUACAUUUGAUAAGUAACACUUACACUGCAUUAACUUUGCAUCUUUUUUACCACCUAGUUUAUUUGCCUUUGGGAAGGAGCACAUGGAUCUAUCUAUCUUUCAAGCAAUACCGUCUCUCACCUCAGUUAUCCGGUUUGUCUGACACCAAAGCAGCUUCUCUGCUUUGAGCAGACCAACUCCUAUGUUUGUUUAUAUCACAAUUUUCUGAUUUUGCGAUGAUCAUAUGUUUAAAUUGCAUGAUAACACGGUGGGGGGGAUUUCAGUAUUUAAGUUGAUAAUCCAUUUGAUUC